CUUCAAGGCAAGUUUAUUGAAGUACACCUGUGUCAGACUCUUUCCAUAUGCUACGUGGAGUUGCACCCUUUGUAUGCCCAGGUUUUCUUGAUGUUUGGAAACUUGAAAUGUCCUCUGUGCAGCAAGGAGGCUAGACAGUGAAAAUUCCAGAAGAAAAGGAGAAGAUGACAUUUCUUCACAGUCUCUUCUGUGUGUAGCUGAACCAACAACAUAAGAAAACUGUUUUCUGUGGGCAUGGGCAGUUUUUCUCCUGCAAUGAAAUGGAAACCUAAAAUCUUAGGUUCUAAGAGCAACCAAAAGACACUGCUCAAGAAACCUCAGAAGGGUACAUUUCCUUACUGACCUGGGAAGGUGAAUAAAACCAAAACCAAAAAGGUUCCA
rnacentral:lncRNA from 1 species